rnacentral:rRNA from 1 species
GCCAGCAGCCAAAGCACCUGCAGUUCAGACCGGAUAAUCCACCUGAAGCUAAGCAGGGUUGGGCCUGGUCAGAACUUGGAUGGGAGACCAACAAGGAAAGCUGGGUUGCUGCUGGGA